rnacentral:rRNA from 1 species
UACAGAGGUCUCAAGCGUUGUUCGGAUUCAUUGGGCGUAAAGGGUGCGUAGGCGGCGCGGUAAGUCGGGUGUGAAAUCUCGGGGCUUAACUCCGAAACUGCAUUCGAUACUACCGUGCUUGAGGACUGGAGAGGAGACUGGAAUUUACGGUGUAGCGGUGAAAUGCGUAGAUAUCGUAAGGAAGACCAGUGGCGAAGGCGGGUCUCUGGACAGUUCCUGACACUGAGGCACGAAGGCCAGGGGAGCAAACAGG